GCAUGAGCAAUAUUAACUUUUUAUCUCAAAUUCCAGUAUAAGAGAGACUUCCAACCUUACGAGAGCAAUAUUAACUUUUAUCUCGUUCAAUAUUGUUUAGCAUGAUGUUACUACUGGCCAAAAGAAUACAUAAAGCUAGCCAAGAUAUUUAAUUAAAGUAGCUGUAAGCUUCUAAAGUGAUCUGCUUGGUUAUGUAUCUUGCUUUACUGAUGCCAAGUGGAAACUAAAGGUCCAAUUCAUUCCAUGUAAGGAACUGCCCUCUCUUUAAAGUUUUAUUUGCUGACAAAAAUCCAAAAUAAAUAUCCUCAAAGCAUUGAUUUGGACAACUCACACAAUAUUGGUUGAUUUCAUCCUAGUAGUUACGUGACAAACAUCACAACAAAUAGCAUCUUUAAAAUGCUACCUUCAAUAGCUUUGUUAUUAGUUGAAGUAGAUAAUAAAAAGUGGUCCCACUUCAAAAGAAAAAAAGGGGCUAUAGUAUGUGUCUCUUGUCCUGAUGCAACAUAUUCAUAAGCUUUGCAUAUGAGGGAAUAAAAUAUGAAAAUUAUGACUCAACUCAUGGUCAUGGGGUACACACUUAACCCCAGUCGCACAAAAUGUAGUGGACUAACCAGCUAGUGAGCGGACGAUAUUGAAAGUCUUUAAGAGACAGCCCACAGGAAAAAAUCUUUAAGAGAUAGCCCACAGGAAAAAAUCAAUCAUUUUCUCCACAUCACCACAAAGUAAAUGAAUUUAUAUUAAAUAUGACAGCAAUCUUAUACGAACAUUAACAUUCAUUUUAUAUUUUGACAUAAAUUAUGUGCAAGCCUUUGACAUCACACAUGAAUUGAAAGUGGAUACAUAAAAGAAAAUGUCCUCAAGGUACCAAAUACGUCUCAUUGCAUCCAACGUUGUCGUGAUCUUCACUUAACUUGACCACAAAAAGUCUCGCCUCUUUUGGGUAUUUUCUCUUCCAGAGGAAUACACACCAAACAAAAUUGAUCAAAUGAAAAUGUACCUGUAUGACAUUGAAUUUCCAGAUGGACUGUGCAGUGGCACCCAU
rnacentral:misc_RNA from 1 species